rnacentral:rRNA from 1 species
GAUGAACGCUGGCGGCGUGCCUAAUACAUGCAAGUCGAGCGAACGGACGAGAAGCUUGCUUCUCUGAUGUUAGCGGCGGACGGGUGAGUAACACGUGGAUAACCUACCUAUAAGACUGGGAUAAUUUCGGGAAACCGGAGCUAAUACCGGAUAAUAUUUUGAACCGCAUGGUUCAAAAGUGAAAGACGGUCUUGCUGUCACUUAUAGAUGGAUCCGCGCUGCAUUAGCCAGUUGGUAAGGUAACGGCUUACCAAGGCAACGAUGCAUAGCCGACCUGAGAGGGUGAUCGGCCACACUGGAACUGAGACACGGUCCAGACUCCUACGGGAGGCAGCAGUAGGGAAUCUUCCGCAAUGGGCGAAAGCCUGACGGAGCAACGCCGCGUGAGUGAUGAAGGUCUUCGGAUCGUAAAACUCUGUUAUUAGGGAAGAACAUAUGUGUAAGUAACUGUGCACAUCUUGACGGUACCUAAUCAGAAAGCCACGGCUAACUACGUG